CGUAAUUAUACGUUACGCACAUACAAGUGAAUCAAAAGUUCAACAAAUAUUCAAGGAGAAAUUUCGGGAUUAUG